GGAGGUGGAGGUGGUUGUGGUGGUGGCGGUGGUGGAGGUGGAGGUGGUUGUGGUGGUGGCGGUGGUGGCGGUGGUGGCUGCUAAAGAUAUAUAGUUCACGUCAAUUACUUUAGGUGAAACAAUAUUACAUAAAGACAGCUUAAUAUUAAGCAUGCAGCCUUAUCUUUGCUGCCAAAUUCUCAUGCAGGACAUCCGAGCCAUCCAAACGCUGGGCCCCACAAUGAAUGCCAAAUGUCCUGAAGUCUUGUCGAUUUGCUCAUUAAGGAGGGUCCCACUCGGACGUGGAGUCAGACCAUUCGCCGUUUCCUUGAUUUUAAGGAUCUGAAUAGUGAUCUUAAUGGUGGGGCCUAUUUCUACUUUACAUGGAUCGCAUGUUCCAGAAGAAUGGGUUGUAAAUGAUAAAUUACUCGGUACAUUUAUAUGCAAUCUUUGUGUUGUAAGGAGAAAUGGUUAAUGCACUCUAUUCUCUAUUAUCUUAUGUCGUUGUUGCAUUUGAAUUUUGAACCGAUAAGAAAAGAUUAUAUUCUUGGCAUUUUGCUCUACAGUGGUUGUCUUGGUGUUUAAUUCCAGUACAUAUAUUUUACGUGUACUCAUUUAUGAGGGCCUACCUCAAGUUGGUUAUUGAAGGUCCAGAUAUCUUGGUAAAGUAGGGUAUAUAAUACACAAGUACUUAGGGCCCGUUUGGCCGGCAGCAUUAGGUGGGAUUAAGGUGGAUGAAAUUGUAAAAGUUAUAAUAAAUGCAUGUGUAAGGUAUUGUCCUUACAUUGUGUAUAUCUCAUGUUUUCUAAUAUUAUGUUUGAAA